GGGAAACACAUACGAUAGAGCGUGCUGAAGUCAGUUCUCACCUUCCACCACGUGGGGUCCUGGGGACCAAACUCAGGUCAUCAGGCGUGGUGGUGAUUCUAAAUUCUGUCAAGUUGGCAGGAUCAACCUUUGCGCCAUCUCUCCCUGUCACUCAUUUGCUGAGCACAAGCCUGCUUUGACUUUACCGUGGAUCCAAAUUUCCAAGCAAGAAGAGGAAGAGAACUUUAUAAGAAUGGUGAUGGAUUCUCAUGACUCAACAGGAGGCUGAACUGAGGGGUUUGGAUCCAUGUCUGUUUUCUUUCUGCCUUCAAAUGCUAGCAGCUAACAUACUGGCUUCCCUUCCUGCUGGGACACAGCCCCUGAAGUACCUUGCUGUGUUCAGAGCUUGGGCGUCUGGCUUCAAGAAACUGUCUACUGGUUAAAAGACCUAUAGCCAAAUGACUCUGGGCUAUGCUGUCACUGUCUCCCCUCUGGCAGUCUCAGGGCUCCUUGAUGAGGGGAGGAGCCAGAACCCCAUGCUGUUUUCCUUCCCUGGGGACACACUGAGCUCUGCCUCACUGAGCUCUGCCUCCUGCUCCAUCCAGGAAUUCUGAGACCCCAGCACAGCACUCUUGACCUUUUCAGGAGCCCUCCCUCACCCCUUGUGAUCACUGUCCUGUGAGCCUGGGGGUGCAUGAGCAAACACAGUGCUGUGUAGCUCUCUGAAGAGGGCAGGUUCAGGAGAUGGCAACCCCCAUAGGGUGACUACAUUGUUUCCAUUGCAUCCUGAGCAACAUGGUUGCAUAAUUAUUUUGGCAAAUUAUUUUGGGAAAACCGGUAUAUCCAGAGGCUCUCCUCCAUGUACAGAGCUGACACACUACAGAUAGAUUAUGGUUGGUUUUUGUUUGUUUGUUUGUUUUUGUUAUUUACUAUUUUAGGGGCCACCUCUAGGCCCAACGGGCCAAUUGGUUGUAGCCACAUAGUAGAGGCUUUAAUGGAACAUGGAAAGGGGCCUUCAAUCAGAGAGUUUCAACCAAGAGCACCAAGAGCAUGGGCUGUUUUCAGAAGUGGUAAGAAUCCUACGUCCUAGGCACUGGAGAGAUGGCUCAGCCGUUAAGAGCACUGACUGCUCUUCCAGAGGCCUUCAGUUCAAUUCCCAGCAACCACAUGACAGUUCACAGCCAUCUGUAACAGGAUCUGAUAUCCCCUUCUGGUACCUCUGAAUGCA
rnacentral:lncRNA from 1 species